rnacentral:lncRNA from 1 species
CUAAGACAUAAUGAACAGGUGUGGUAAUGAACAGGUGAGGUAGUCUCUAAGACAUAAUGAACAGGUGUGGUAGUCUCUAAGACAUAAUGAACAGGUGUGGUAGUCUCUAAGACAUAAUGAACAGGUGAGGUAGUCUCUAAGACAUAAUGAACAGGUGAGGUAGUCUCUAAGACAUAAUGAACAGGUGAGGUAGUCUCUAAGACAUAAUGAACAGGUGUGGUAGUCUCUAAGACAUAAUGAACAGGUGUGGUAGUCUCUAAGACAUAAUGAACAGGUGAGGUAGUCUCUAAGACAUAAUGAACAGGUGAGGUAGUCUCUAAGACAUAAUUAACAGGUGUGGUAGUCUCUAAGACAUAAUGAACAGGUGUGGUAGUCUAUAAGACAUAAUGAACAGGUGUGGUAGUCUAUAAGACAUAAUGAACAGGUGAGGUAGUCUCUAAGACAUAAUGAACAGGUGUGGUAGUCUCUAAGACAUAAUGAACAGGUGAGGUAGUCUAUAAGACAUAAUGAACAGGUGUGGUAGUCUCUUAAGACAUAAUGAACAGGUGUGGUCGUAUCUAAGACAUAAUGAACAGGUGAGGUAGUCUAUAAGACAUAAUGAACAGGUGACGUAGUCUCUAAGACAUAAUGAACAGGUGUGGUAGUCUCUAAGACAUAAUGAACAGGUGUGGUAAUGAACAGGUGAGGUAGUCUCUAAGACAUAAUGAACAGGUGUGGUAGUCUCUAAGACAUAAUGAACAGGUGUGGUAGUCUCUAAGACAUAAUGUACAGGUGUGGUAGUCUCUAAGACAUAAUGAACAGGUGUGGUAGUCUCUAAGACAUAAUGAACAGGUGUGGUGGUCUCUAAGACAUAAUGAACAGGUGAGGUAGUCUAUAAGACAUAAUGAACAGGUGUGGUAGUCUCUAAGACAUAAUGAACAGGUGAGGUAGUCGCUAAGACAUAAUGAACAGGUGAGGUAGUCUCUAAGACAUAAUGAACAGGUGUGGUAGUCUCUAAGACAUAAUGAACAGGUGUGGUAGUCUAUAAGACAUAAUGAACAGGUGAGGUAGUCUAUAAGACCUAAUGAACAGGUGUGGUAGUCUCUAAGACAUAAUGAACAGGUGUGGUAGUCUAUAAGACCUAAUGAACAGGUGUGGUAGUCUCUAAGACAUAAUGAACAGGUGUGGUAGUCUCUAAGACAUAAUGAACAGGUGUGGUAGUCUAUAAGACAUAAUGAACAGGUGUGGUAGUCUAUAAGACAUAA